rnacentral:rRNA from 1 species
CCUACGGGAGGCAGCAGUGAGGAAUUUUCCGCAAUGGGCGAACGCCUGACGGAGCAAUACCGCGUGAGGGAUGAAGGAUUUUGGUCUGUAAACCUCUUUUCUCAAGAAAGAAGUUCUGACGGUACUUGAGGAAUAAGCAUCGGCUAACUCCGUGCCAGCAGCCGCGGUAAUACGGGGGAUGCAAGCGUUAUCCGGAAUGAUUGGGCGUAAAGCGCCUGUAGGUUGUUUAUUAAGUCCGUUGUUAAAGCCUAGGGCUUAACCCUAGAAAAGCAAUGGAAACUAGUAGACUAGAGUAUGGCAGGGGUAGAGGGAAUUUCUAGUGUAGCGGUGAAAUGCGUAGAUAUUAGAAAGAACACCGGUGGCGAAAGCGCUCUACUGGACCAUUACUGACACUCAGAGGCGAAAGCUAGGGUAGCAAAAGGGAUUAGAUACCCCUGUAGUCCUAGCCGUAAACGAUGGAUACUAGAUGUUGUGCAUAUGUACAGUAUCGUAGCUACGUACGUUAAGUAUCCGUCCGUCGGGUAGGUACGCGUCGCGAGGUAGGAAGCGUCAAGGAAGUUAGACGGCGUGAGACGUGCCGAACGGACGACGACCGAGGGGAGGUAGG